rnacentral:rRNA from 1 species
CCUACGGGUGGCAGCAGUGGGGAAUAUUGCACAAUGGCGGAAACCCUGAUGCAGCGACGCCGCGUGAGUGAAGAAGUAUCUCGGUACGUAAAGCUCUAUCAGCAGGGAAGAAAAUGACGGUACCUGACUAAGAAGCCCCGGCUAACUACGUGCCAGCAGCCGCGGUAAUACGUAGGGGGCGAGCGUUAUCCGGAUUUACUGGGUGUAAAGGGGGCGUAGACGGCAGCACAAGUCUGGAGUGAAAUCCCGGGGCCUAACCCCGGAACUGCUUUGGAAACUGUGCGGCUGGAGUGCAGGAGGGGUAAGCGGAAUGCCUGGUGUAGCGGUGAAAUGCGUAGAUAUUAGGAGGAACACCGGUGGCGAAGGCGGCUUACUGGACUGUAACUGACGUUGAGGCUCGAAAGCGUGGGGAGCAAACAGGAUUAGAUACCCCAGUAGUC